UGAGGCAGCACUCAUACCUGUGAGCCACAGAUCUCUCGUCUGGCCACAUGAGGGAACUUCUACUUCACUGUUCACCUGUAGUCCUGCAGAACUUCAUGUUCACAUGGGGAGCUAUCAAACGUGCCUUUCCUAACCAUUGCAGCUUUGCUAUAAAUGCUGUUUGAAUCUGUGAACAACCAUACGAAAUCAUUGCAUAACUGUCAACAUUAGACGAUAAAAAUCACUUUAAAUGAAAGUAAAAAAAUAAUACAUCUACCUUACCAAAAGAUAAAUCACUCAAAAACAGCCGUAUUUUAUUUGUUUGUAUUUUGGCCAUGUGGCUUCCAGUUCAAAAGAUCAGACAUUUUACCCAUCAUUAAAGAGUUAAUCUGAGUCCAUUAACUGAUAGAUUCCGUGUUUAUCUGCUGCUCGAGAUCCUGACAAAAUUAUAGAUUUAUUUUAACACGUAUAAAGCCACAAAUUUGUGUCCUCCCACCGCUUCUCCUCUUUCAGUUUGGCGUCUCGUUUAAUAAAUGUGCUACACUUACUGACCACAAGAGGGAGCCGCUGAUCACCUGUUUUCACCUGUCUUACAUUCAACGAGCUAAACAGGGAUUCUGCUUGAGUAUGUCAAUGUGAAAGUAAACUACACGUUUAAGUAAUGAGUUAGGGACCAAAGUUGAAGUCAUGUUCAGUCUACUGGCACUAUAACACGACUCGUCUGGUGGGAAGGUAACGUGCAGUUUGUCGUCCGCACCACUAGGGGCGCAAGCGGACUCUGCCUCCGGCGAACUGUGCAUCGUUGACAACAUGACACCUGACAGCAGUGUCAACAACAACUUCAAACCGUUUUAUAGCCAUGAAAGUGCAGAUUCUGCCCAUGACAGCUCAGUGACAGACUCUUAAUGUGACUCAACAGCACAUAUUUCAGGCCAGAAUGAAACAAAACCAUCAUAUACGGCGAUAAAGUGCAUGAAUCGAGGAUGUCACGCGACUCACCUGUAAGUAACUUCUCUUGUAAAGUCCCUAGUACUUAUUUAGCUGUCUUCAUUUUGUAUCUAAGUCAUUAUUUAAGUUUGUAGUGAAGCAUCAUUCUUCUGAUAUGACCAAGCAGGUUUUUAAUGUGCUUGCUGGAGUAUUUAGGUGGUGCUGCUCUUUAUUGGACUGUUUAAAAGUCUCAGACUAAUACUGAUCAGUAACGUGACAGCUAAGCAUGAAUGAAAGCAG
rnacentral:lncRNA from 1 species